rnacentral:rRNA from 1 species
GAUGAACGCUGGCGGCAUGCCUAAUACAUGCAAGUCGAGCGGACGGACGAGAAGCUUGCUUCUCUUAUGUUAGCGGCGGACGGGUGAGUAACACGUGGAUAACCUACCUAUAAGACUGGGAUAACUUCGGGAAACCGGAGCUAAUACCGGAUAAUAUUUUGAACCGCAUGGUUCAAAAGUGAAAGACGGUCUUGCUGUCACUUAUAGAUGUAUCCUCGCUGCAUUAGCUAGUUGGUAAGGUAACGGCUUACCAAGGCAACGAUGCAUAGCCGACCUGAGAGGGUGGACCGCCACCAUGGAACUGAGACACGGUCCAGACUCCUAAGGGAGGCAGCAGUAGGGAAUCUUCCGCAAUGGGCGAAAGCCUGACGGAGCAACGCCGCGUGAGUGAUGAAGGUCUUCGGAUCGGAAAACUCUGUUAUUAGGGAAGAACAUAUGUGUAAGUAACUGUGCACAGCUUGACGGUACCUAAUCAGAAAGCCACGGCUAACUACGUG